rnacentral:rRNA from 1 species
GUACACUCCUACGGGAGGCAGCAGUGGGGAAUUUUGGACAAUGGGCGAAAGCCUGAUCCAGCAAUGCCGCGUGAGUGAAGAAGGCCUUCGGGUUGUAAAGCUCUUUUGUCAGGGAAGAAACGGUGAAAGCUAAUAUCUUUUGCUAAUGACGGUACCUGAAGAAUAAGCACCGGCUAACUACGUGCCAGCAGCCGCGGUAAUACGUAGGGUGCAAGCGUUAAUCGGAAUUACUGGGCGUAAAGCGUGCGCAGGCGGUUUUGUAAGUCUGAUGUGAAAUCCCCGGGCUCAACCUGGGAAUUGCAUUGGAGACUGCAAGGCUAGAAUCUGGCAGAGGGGGGUAGAAUUCCACGUGUAGCAGUGAAAUGCGUAGAUAUGUGGAGGAACACCGAUGGCGAAGGCAGCCCCCUGGGUCAAGAUUGACGCUCAUGCACGAAAGCGUGGGGAGCAAACAGGAUUAGAAACCCCGGUAGUCC